CGUGAGGAACCUGCCUUCCAGAGGGGGACAACAGUUGGAAACGACUGCUAAUACCGCAUGAUGCAUUGAAGUCGCAUGGCUUUGAUGUCAAAGAUUUAUCGCUGGAAGAUGGCCUCGCGUCUGAUUAGCUAGUUGGUGAGGUAACGGCCCACCAAGGCGACGAUCAGUAGCCGGACUGAGAGGGUGGACGGCCACAUUGGGACUGAGACACGGCCCAAACUCCUACGGAAGGCAGCAG
rnacentral:rRNA from 1 species